GGUGAGGAAUAGAUAGGAACGUACCCUGUGCUCUGGGAUAGCGUCUGAAGCUUCGGCUUCUUCCGAAAGGGGCGGUAAUACCAGAUAAUGUCCUUCGGGACCAAAGAUUUAUCGGCAUUGGAGCGGCCUAUCUCCUAUCAGCUUGUUGGUGAGGUAACGGCUCACCAAGGCAACGACGGGUAGCGGGACUGAGAGGUUGGCCCGCCACAUCGGGACUGAGACACUGCCCGGACCUCCACGGAGGGCUGCAGUAACGGAUAUUGGGCAAUGGGCGAAAGCCUGACCCAGCAAUGCCGCGUGCAGGAUGAAGCCCCUAGGGGUGUAAACUGCUGUCAGGGGUCAGAAAGCUGGUUUCGGCCAGUUGAUCAACCCCAGAGGAAGUCACGGCUAACUUCGUGCCAGCAGCCGCGGUAAUACGAAGGUGGCAAGCGUUAUUCGGAAUCAUUGGGCUUAAAGGGCACGCAGGCGGAACAGUGUGUGUUGUGUGAAAUCCCCCGGCUUAACCGGGGAAUUGCACAGCAAACUGCUGUUCUUGAGGCAGGUAGGGGUGCAUGGAACUCUUGGUGGAGCGGUGGAAUGCGUAGAUAUCAAGAGGAACGCCAGAGGUGAAGACGGUGCACUGGGCCUGUCCUGACGCUGAGGUGCGAAAGCGUGGGGAGCGAACGGGAUUAGAUACCCCGGUAGUCCACGCCGUAAACGAUGUCUACUAGGUCGUGGGUGUUCUGACACAUUCACGGCCGGAGCAAAAGUGUUUAGUAGACCGCCUGGGGAGUACGGCCGCAAGGUUAAAACUCAAAUGAAUUGACGGGGGCUCACACAAGCGGUGGAGCAUGUGGAUUAAUUCGAAGCAACGCGCAGAACCUUACCUGGGUUUGACAUGCUUGUAUGCCUUCUCUGAAAGGAGUUAGGCUGCCUUCGGGUGAAACUUGCACAGGUGCUGCAUGGCUGUCGUCAGCUCGUGUCGUGAGAUGUCGGGUUAAGUCCUUUAACGAGCGAAACCCUUGCCGUUAGUUGCCAGCGAGUAAUGUGGGGGACUCCUAACGGGACGGCACGGUGUUAAACCGGAGGAAGGUGGGGACGACGU
rnacentral:rRNA from 1 species